AGAGUUUGAUCCUGGCUCAGGAUGAACGCUAGCGGCAGGCCUAACACAUGCAAGUCGAGGGGUAGAGGGUGCUUGCACCCUUGAGACCGGCGCACGGGUGCGUAACGCGUAUGCAACCUACCUAUUGCAGGGGAAUAGCCCAGGGAAACUUGGAUUAAUGCCCCAUAGUCCAUAUUGAGAGCAUUUGAGAUAUGGUAAAGAUUUAUCGGCAAUAGAUGGGCAUGCGUCCCAUUAGCUAGUUGGUAUGGUAACGGCAUACCAAGGCUACGAUGGGUAGGGGCCCUGAGAGGGGGAUCCCCCACACUGGUACUGAGACACGGACCAGACUCCUACGGGAGGCAGCAGUGAGGAAUAUUGGACAAUGGGCGGGAGCCUGAUCCAGCCAUGCCGCGUGCAGGAAGACUGCCCUAUGGGUUGUAAACUGCUUUUUUACGGGAAGAAACACCCCCACGUGUGGGGGCUUGACGGUACCGUACGAAUAAGGACCGGCUAACUCCGUGCCAGCAGCCGCGGUAAUACGGAGGGUCCGAGCGUUAUCCGGAAUCAUUGGGUUUAAAGGGUCCGUAGGCGGGCGUCUAAGUCAGUGGUGAAAUCUCGCGGCUCAACCGUGAAAUUGCCAUUGAUACUGGUCGCCUUGAAUUAGUGUGAAGUGGCUAGAAUAUGUAGUGUAGCGGUGAAAUGCUUAGAUAUUACAUAGAAUACCGAUUGCGAAGGCAGGUCACUAACACUAUAUUGACGCUGAUGGACGAAAGCGUGGGGAGCGAACAGGAUUAGAUACCCUGGUAGUCCACGCCGUAAACGAUGGAUACUAGCUGUCCGGCCUGCAUUGGUAGGCUGGGUGGCCAAGCGAAAGUGAUAAGUAUCCCACCUGGGGAGUACGUUCGCAAGAAUGAAACUCAAAGGAAUUGACGGGGGCCCGCACAAGCGGUGGAGCAUGUGGUUUAAUUCGAUGAUACGCGAGGAACCUUACCAGGGCUUAAAUGUAGUCUGACAGGGGUGGAAACACCCCCUUCUUCGGACAGACUGCAAGGUGCUGCAUGGUUGUCGUCAGCUCGUGCCGUGAGGUGUCAGGUUAAGUCCUAUAACGAGCGCAACCCCUGUCGUUAGUUGCCAGCAUGUAAAGAUGGGAACUCUAACGAGACUGCCGGUGCAAACCGUGAGGAAGGUGGGGAUGACGUCAAAUCAUCACGGCCCUUACGUCCUGGGCCACACACGUGCUACAAUGGCAGGUACAAUGGGCAGCCACGCCGCAAGGCGGAGCGAAUCCACAAAACCUGUCUCAGUUCGGAUCGGGGUCUGCAACUCGACCCCGUGAAGCUGGAAUCGCUAGUAAUCGGAUAUCAGCCAUGAUCCGGUGAAUACGUUCCCGGGCCUUGUACA
rnacentral:rRNA from 1 species